UGGAGGAAAGCAGGGGAUCGCAAGACCUUGCGCUUUUGGAGUGGCCGAUGCCUGAUUAGCUAGUUGGUGGGGUAAGAGCCUACCAAGGCGACGAUCAGUAGUUGGUCUGAGAGGACGACCAGCCACACUGGGACUGAGACACGGCCCAGACUCCUACGGGAGGCAGCAGUGGGGAAUUUUGGACAAUGGGCGAAAGCCUGAUCCAGCAAUGCCGCGUGAGUGAAGAAGGCCUUCGGGUUGUAAAGCUCUUUCAGUCGAGAAGAAAAGGUCGCGACUAAUAAUCGCGACUCAUGACGGUAUCGACAGAAGAAGCACCGGCUAACUACGUGCCAGCAGCCGCGGUAAUACGUAGGGUGCGAGCGUUAAUCGGAAUUACUGGGCGUAAAGGGUGCGCAGGCGGCUCUGUAAGUCAGAUGUGA
rnacentral:rRNA from 1 species